UUGAUUCAAGGGCUAAAAAAUCGGAAGCACCAUAUUUUAUGCUUCCGAUAGCAUUAUAAGGACUGAGAUUUUGACAGUAUAGCUAAACUCUCUGUUGACGAUAUUUUUGUGUGUAAUUUAAUUACAUAAGCAGUCGUCAAGUUUCAGGAGAAAACGAGUUAGAAUGGUAAAGUUACGUGAUCAUUACUAAUCACUUAAGGUGAAUAGUAACUCCGAUUUUCUGGAGAGACUGAUGAGUAUACGUGGCUUCUGGCGCGUA
rnacentral:lncRNA from 1 species